CCUACGGGUGGCAGCAGUGAGGAAUAUUGGUCAAUGGGCGAGAGCCUGAACCAGCCAAGUCGCGUGAGGGAUGACGGUCCUAUGGAUUGUAAACCUCUUUUGUCGGGGAACAAAGGCGUCCACGUGUGGACUGAUGAGUGUACCCGAAGAAAAAGCAUCGGCUAACUCCGUGCCAGCAGCCGCGGUAAUACGGAGGAUGCGAGCGUUAUCCGGAUUUAUUGGGUUUAAAGGGUGCGUAGGCGGACAGUCAAGUCAGCGGUAAAACUGCGGUGCUCAACGCCGUACAGCCGUUGAAACUGGCAGGCUUGAGUGGGCGAGAAGUAUGCGGAAUGCGUGGUGUAGCGGUGAAAUGCAUAGAUAUCACGCAGAACUCCGAUUGCGAAGGCAGCAUACCGGCGCCCUACUGACGCUGAGGCACGAAAGCGUGGGUAUCGAACAGGAUUAGAUACCCUGGUAGUC
rnacentral:rRNA from 1 species